CAACAUCGGCGCGGGAGGGGGUUUAAGAUGCUGGCCCGAAAGAGGGCAUUUCGUGACUCGCCCCCUUCCGUUUCCGUUGCUUGCGUAUUUUACGUCCACACCCGUGAACCUUAAUGGGAGGGUUCGCCCUCCCUUUUUUUUUUAAAACCAAAGCCUGUUGAAACGCAUGUCUUUAGCCCCACGGGGCGAGUAAAAAGUUUAAUACAACUUUCAACAACGGAUCUCUUGGCUUUCGCAUCGAUGAAGGACGCCGCGAAAGUGCGAAACGUAAUGUGAAUUGCAGAAUUCAGUGAAUCAUCGAAUCUUUGAACGCAUCUUGCGCUCCUUGGCAUUCCGAGGAGCAUGCCUGUUUGAGUGUCGUGAAAUCAUCCCUCGACCCGACUCCUCGUUAGAGUUUGGGUUGGAUUUGGACGUCUGCGGGGGCGGUCGCCUCUCGCUCGUCUUUAAAUGCAUCAGCUUGGCCCUCGGGUCGGACCGAUCGACGGUGUGAUAAUAACACAUUGAACGCCGUUUUGGCCCGACCUUCGCGUGGGGUCGCUUCUAAUCCCCGGUCCCUUGGGACCGAUUCGACCAUUUGACCUCAAAUCAGGUAG
rnacentral:rRNA from 1 species